GUUGCUGUAGCUUAAAACAAAGCAUAGCACUGAAAAUGCUAAAAUGGUUUCUACCCGCCAACA
rnacentral:tRNA from 1 species